AACGAACGCUGGCGGCAGGCCUUACACAUGCAAGUCGAGCGAGACCUUCGGGUUUAGCCGCGGACGGGUGAGUGACGCGUGGGAUCGUGCCCUUUUCUGCGGCAUAUCCUCGGGAAACUGAGCGUAAUACCGCAUUUGACACUUGAUGGAAAGAUUUAUCGGAAAAGGAUGGGCCAGCGUCGGAUUAGUUUGUUGGUGGGGUAAUUGCCUAUCAAGCCUACGAUCGGUAGCUGGUUUGAGAGGAAGAGCCGCGACACUGGGGCUGAGACACGGCCGAGACUCCUAGGGGAGGGGGGAGAGGGGAAUCGUGGACAGCGGCGUCAACCAUGAUGGAGCCAUGCCGGGUGAGUGAUGAAGGUCUGAGAGUUGUAAAGUUCUUUCAGAUGGGAAGAUAAUGACGGUACCGGAAGAAGAAGCACCGGCUAACUACGUG
rnacentral:rRNA from 1 species